rnacentral:lncRNA from 1 species
UUUGCUCUGCCUUGGAUUAAGUCUGCACUUCCCAGGUCCCCGGCGCUUCUGCCCCUGGGACGUGGGAUCCCCACGGACCUGGAAAUUCUCGCCUGUCUUCCCUUCACCCAGAGCAAAUUGAGACGUCCCGGAGGAAGACCAAGGCAGCCUAUUGGGCCUUCCAGGCAAUCACAUGGGAAUCAGCCACACGUCCUUCCUCCUCACCUCAGAACAUCUCAGAAUAACUUGGUGAAAUGUCUCCCACUGUGAGCCUCAGUGAGCCCACCUGUAACAUAGAGGCCUCGCCCCUGAGCUCUACAAUCCUGUGUCCAGUUGUCUCCUCAGCUGUCUCCUGGGUCAUCAAACAGGCAUCCCCACCUUCAGGUGUCCACGAGUGGCUUUCUAAACCCCCAAACACAUUUCCUUGCAGUCUGCACAUCUCAGAUGAGGGUGACUACGUACUUCCGGAAACGGCCGAACUUGACAGCAUGUAUUUUAAAUUUGUGAAAUAAAUUACUUUAUUUGUA